rnacentral:tRNA from 1 species
GGGAUUGUAGCUCAGUGGUAGAGUGCCUGCUUAGCAUGCAUGAGGUCCUGGGUUCAAUCCCCAGUGCCG